UACGGAGGAUCCGAGCGUUAUCCGGAUUUAUUGGGUUUAAAGGGUGCGUAGGCGGCCUGUUAAGUCAGGGGUGAAAGACGGUAGCUCAACUAUCGCAGUGCCCUUGAUACUGAUGGGCUUGAAUGUACUAGAGGUAGGCGGAAUGUGACAAGUAGCGGUGAAAUGCAUAGAUAUGUCACAGAACACCAAUUGCGAAGGCAGCUUACUAUGGUAUUAUUGACGCUGAGGCACGAAAGCGUGGGGAGCAAACCGG
rnacentral:rRNA from 1 species